GUACCAGCCGUACUUAAUAAUAGAAGGAUUUGGAAGAAAUAUGUAAAAUUGUCCCUCCUAAAAAGAUUAUUCCAGAAUAAAUGGGCAAUAGUUAGGAGAGGUGCGCCAGCGGCGAGCAGAAGCAAGGUUAUUAGAUACCUCAAGUAAGCUCGUCCAGAACCACACGUGGAAGUUUCCCUGCAUGUGGCUUGUCCGUGAUAACUUCUUCGGAUUUGCGUGAACUAGCGGACCGAUCACUAAGUGGGGAUGCUCCCUCCAGCAUGAAUGAACCCUUUCAGAACUGGUUAAGGAUGGGUGGCACUAUCCCAGCCUGGAUCCAGCCAGGUUCUAUUGAUCAUGUCCCAUUCCCAAUAGUUGUACCUUGUCUUGGGGCGUCUUUGGCUUUACGAUAGAAAGCUCGCUUGAGAAAGCCAGGUGCCGUAGGUAAGCUCUAUUUGGCCGGGAGCAUUGAUUUCCCAUAACGAAUAGGCUAGCUCUAUCUCUCAAUUACCUAUCCUAUGCUCGAGAAGGCAGCAUCUCGAGGUACAUUUAGUUGUCUUACAUGAGACGAUGGCUAUUCCCCACUCCAUGGCAUGACAUCUUUCGCUCAUCACUUCUGCCUGUCCAAAUGCAGCACCCUUUCUCAUUAUCAUCUACUGCUCUUUCUUUCCUCCCGGCUAUUUACACAUGAAGAUCGUCGUAUGUAUACUCGACUUCGGUUGCCGAUGCUAUAAUAGGUAGAAGUAUAUUAUGGAAGGAUCAGUCACUCGGGCAAACAACACUCCUCCAAGAAGAAUUGUGCUAUGCCCCCCAAUCCCUAUAGAGCGAAAGAGUUACCUGGUGAUCCCUAGGUUGCAGCACGUCCGGUCGUUAACUCCUCGUGCCGCUGCCGCCGUUUCUAGGACCUAUUGAUGCCUCACCUGCAUAGGUACCUGUGUAGUGUAGUCUCGGUCGCACAUUAAACAUAGCGUUCGGACUUAUGUGCCUUCCAAAACCAGGGGUAUUCGAGCCUGCUGCGUACGAUUAGCUAGCCUUGCAGCGGCAAAAGUAUUAGACAUCCCCCAUGCUAUGGUUCCCUGCAGUCCAAACCCGGGCCGCUUUAGGUUAGGGAGCUGGACGAUAAUAGCUCAUCCGCAUCCCAAAGUGCGCUGCCCUCCUAGGCACACAACACUAAGUAAUCCAAGCCAACCCACAUUACUGACUAACGGUGGAUAAUCAUAUUUCUUAAAGGUACUAAAUACAACUCCAUGAAUGAGCAAAAUGAAUGUUGCAUUAAUGAUAAAGAUUUCUAGGGAAACUGCUAAAAAAAGAUUGAACAUGUGGGAGGAUCCGAACGAAUUCUGCUUUCAUUUCCCCCGUAUG
rnacentral:lncRNA from 1 species